rnacentral:rRNA from 1 species
UACGUAGGUGGCAAGCGUUAUCCGGAUUUACUGGGUGUAAAGGGCGUGUAGGCGGCUCUGCAAGUUGGAUGUGAAAUUCCCGGGCUUAACCCGGGCGCUGCAUCCAAAACUGCGGAACUUGAGUACUGGAGAGGAUAGUGGAAUUCCUAGUGUAGCGGUAAAAUGCGUAGAUAUUAGGAGGAACACCGGUGGCGAAGGCGGCUAUCUGGACAGUAACUGACGCUGAGGCGCGAAAGCGUGGGGAGCAAACAGG